CUUAACACAUGCAAGUCGAGGGGCAGCAUUUCAGUUUGCUUGCAAACUGGAGAUGGCGACCGGCGCACGGGUGAGUAACACGUAUCCAACCUGCCGAUAACUCGGGGAUAGCCUUUCGAAAGAAAGAUUAAUACCCGAUGGUAUAAUCAGACCGCAUGGUCUUGUUAUUAAAGAAUUUCGGUUAUCGAUGGGGAUGCGUUCCAUUAGGCAGUUGGUGAGGUAACGGCUCACCAAACCUUCGAUGGAUAGGGGUUCUGAGAGGAAGGUCCCCCACAUUGGAACUGAGACACGGUCCAAGCUCCUACGGGAGGCAGCAGUGAGGAAUAUUGGUCAAUGGGCGCAGGCCUGAACCAGCCAAGUAGCGUGAAGGAUGACUGCCCUAUGGGUUGUAAACUUCUUUUAUAUGGGAAUAAAGUUUUCCACGUGUGGAAUUUUGUAUGUACCAUAUGAAUAAGGAUCGGCUAACUCCGUGCCAGCAGCCGCGGUAAUACGGAGGAUCCGAGCGUUAUCCGGAUUUAUUGGGUUUAAAGGGAGCGUAGGUGGACAGUUAAGUCAGUUGUGAAAGUUUGCGGCUCAACCGUAAAAUUGCAGUUGAUACUGGCUGUCUUGAGUACAGUAGAGGUGGGCGGAAUUCGUGGUGUAGCGGUGAAAUGCUUAGAUAUCACGAAGAACUCCGAUUGCGAAGGCAGCUCACUGGACUGCAACUGACACUGAUGCUCGAAAGUGUGGGUAUCAAACAGGAUUAGAUACCCUGGUAGUCCACACAGUAAACGAUGAAUACUCGCUGUUUGCGAUAUACAGUAAGCGGCCAAGCGAAAGCAUUAAGUAUUCCACCUGGGGAGUACGCCGGCAACGGUGAAACUCAAAGGAAUUGACGGGGGCCCGCACAAGCGGAGGAACAUGUGGUUUAAUUCGAUGAUACGCGAGGAACCUUACCCGGGCUUAAAUUGCAUUUGAAUAUAUUGGAAACAGUAUAGCCGUAAGGCAAAUGUGAAGGUGCUGCAUGGUUGUCGUCAGCUCGUGCCGUGAGGUGUCGGCUUAAGUGCCAUAACGAGCGCAACCCUUAUCUUUAGUUACUAACAGGUCAUGCUGAGGACUCUAGAGAGACUGCCGUCGUAAGAUGUGAGGAAGGUGGGGAUGACGUCAAAUCAGCACGGCCCUUACGUCCGGGGCUACACACGUGUUACAAUGGGGGGUACAGAAGGCAGCUACCUGGUGACAGGAUGCUAAUCCCAAAAGCCUCUCUCAGUUCGGAUCGAAGUCUGCAACCCGACUUCGUGAAGCUGGAUUCGCUAGUAAUCGCGCAUCAGCCAUGGCGCGGUGAAUACGUUCCCGGGCCUUGUACACACCGCCCGUCAAGCCAUGAAAGCCGGGGGUACCUGAAGUACGUAACCGCAAGGAGCGUCCUAGGGUAAAACUGGUAAUUGGGGCA
rnacentral:rRNA from 1 species